UUUAAGAAAUUAGAAGAGGUGAGGGUAGAGAGAGAAGUGACCUCUAUUGCCAGGAGAUCCUAUCCUGCUUCACCUCAGCACCCUGGAUCGUGAGCACUGCCCCAGAUGUGUAUUCAAGACCCCUGCCCGGAAGGCCCCAGCCGAGAGGGGUUCUAGCUCCAGGGUUUCCCUGGAAAGAGACAGAUGGAAGUGCUGAAGGAAGAAUGAGGUCAGGGAAGCGUGUCCUGUGAGCCUCGGGAACACGGGGCUGGGGGAGAAGAUGGAAAUAACGCCCCCCACCCCUCACCUGCAGCAGUUUUCUGCCUUGCAUGCAAACACCCGAACUGGGCUUAGCACACUCUUCCAGGUCUAAUCUUUCAGUACUGGGUGAAGCAGAGCCAGGAUCCAGAUCUCCAGUGUCUAAGACCUACCUCCUGCCCUUGGCCCAGAUCUGGUUUAGAAACAGGGUGGGAUCCGAACCCUGAAGAACCCGGACAAGGUGUGCCCUGAUUUGGGGCCCUCUCUGUGACCUGGGGUUUCUCUGCCCUGGGUUCUGAGAAAGCCCAUCUCCCCCCAGCACCUUCUGAUGUUGGACACAAAUGAAGCCCGAUCAGAGGCACCAGAUGUCUCUUCCCUGUCACUGCACCUGCUCCGGUUCUGUCUCCCCUUGGGCCUGGGAUGCUGCUGUUGCCAUGCCGACAACAACAUUCACUCUCAGAGGGGCUGUUACUAGGCUCCAGGCCCCUUUGUGCUUGCCUUAGUGUCACUCUGACUAUAGGGCUUACGGGAAGCAAAAAUUCAGCCCCUUGGUCCCUUUCUCCGUAGAGGUUGACCUCUCCUGCUCCCCAGCCUCAGUUUAUUCACCUGCGGAAGGCAAUGAUGGGGAUCUCUCUUUGCAGUCCUCAACUGGGUCCUUCACUCUCUCUGGCCCCUGCGGGACCUCAGUAGAAGAUAUCUGUGGCCAACAGUAGUCAUGGAGUUGCUUUGCUCAGAGGUAGCUGUCCCCAGCCCAGGGACCCCAGCCCUUCCUGGACUCUGUGACCAUCCCUAACUCAUGACUGUUGCUGGACCCUGGGACUGCCCCUUCUCUUCCCUGACCUCACGACCUCUUUCACUUGACCCUUCCUUGACCUGUGACCCUUGAGCUGGUUGCUCCCUGCAGUGGUCCCUCUCUCCUUUUCCUCCUACCAGUCCUUCUGCUGGUCUUACUGGUCGCCCAGAAUCUGGCGAGCAGUCAGUUGACCCCUGCUCCUGUCCAGGUGAGCAGCACACGAAGGAGGAGAGAGCCCCCUGGUGCCUUCACCCCAUGGGAAAGGAGCCACAGUGUUCCAAGCUGUCUGCAGAUAUGACACAGCUCCUACUGCUUCUGAGAGAUGUGCUACCCGGAGGCCUGGGGAACACCACGGUGAGCUGAUUCAACUCGGUGCUUCCUGCUACAUGGCCCAGGGGAGAUGAGACCAGUCCCAGCCCAGGCCCCCGCUGUCCUCAGUGCUGCAGUGGCGGCUCACUCUGCUGGGCCCUAAAUGAACUGGGCUCUGGUGAGCAGCCCUGCCAGCCUGGGGCCAGAGCCCCUCCUCCAUGGCCCCUGCUCUGGCUUCUCCCAUUGCCCCGGUGAGCUGUGAGCCCCACCCCGCCACUCCCCAGCCCUGAGCCUUGCCCACCCACUAACACCCAACUCUGAACCCCA